ensembl:lncRNA LINC02092 long intergenic non-protein coding RNA 2092
GGGUGGGAAUGGAGUGGGGAGAUCUGACUCUGCAGCCAUCCCUCACCACUCCUGCUUGGACAUCGCCAGGCUCAGCUAGAGAAGGCAGAAAAAGUUCCUCCAACUCCUUCCCCAGGCACCUAUGCAGGCUCCACACUCCUGCCUGAACAGCUAUGAUUUUAAAAGCCAUCGAGUCAUGAAGAGAAGUGUGCCAGUGUGUGCUGGACUCAGUUUCCCCUGUGCACCAUUUUCCCCAGUCAGCCCUGCACCUUCCAAGAACUAUGACCCGAAGGCACACCCUAGUCAGCUCAGGCCCCACAUUCCUGCAAAAAUAAGGCUCCAGGGCUCCCUCAUCGCAGCAUGGGUUCUGCAGGAAGCCCCAGUGCCAAGUGGCUUUCAAAACUAGCCUCAGCUAGCAACGUGGCGGCUAUUUCAGCGACCGACAAAAGCAGCUCCCCCAGCCUCCCUUGGUGUUUGUGGUCCCUUUUGUUCCAGCCAGGCACCAUGAGGAAAAUGCAGCAACCGUUUGGAAACAAAGGCUCGGGCAGGCUCUCUCCAGUCUGAAAAGCCCACUUUCACUUGAGUUUCAGGUAAUUUGCUGUGCAGCCUGAAUUCGUUAGACAAAUUAGGCUCACUUGGACUUCAGGUGGCUCAAUUACCUGGGUGAUUUGCAUGUUUAUGAGUGAAGGGGACUGCACAGUAGCAGAAAGCAAAUUUGAAAUCCUGACUUUGGGGGCCCUGGAGCCCCUUUGCUGCACCUUUACUUUCCCUACCAGAAAGGAGGAAGGACAGAGUAGCUCCCCAGCAAGCAGAUCAGCGGAUGUCACAUAACCACAGGGCAGUCAUCAGGGAGCACGACCCCUCCCCAGGGCCACGCAGGCCUUAGUUUCUCCUUCUGGAUCUGCCAGCAAAACAAAGGUUACUGAGAGGUUAAGAAUUGCCAAAAAAGACCUGUGCCUUCCCUCUGAUAUUCCCUGGGUUUAGUUCUUCUCUCCUCCUUCUGCCAAGAGACCACUGAGAAGUGCCUCCGAAGAGCUAAGGGCUGCCCCAGGUGGUUAUGUGGGAGGUGAGUCAAGGCUUGAGGAUCUGGAGACUAAGCAACUCUCAAGAGAAAGUUCUGCUGGGACCCCUCCCUUGGUCUUCCCUUUCUGCCCCCUCUGAUGCCCCCUUCAUCCAUCCCUGCCUGCCUUCUGGUCUGUCCCUGCAGCGUGAGUGCCAGACAGAGGCCUGUUCUGAUGUCCUGACAUGCUACAAUUAUGCAGAUUUACACAGCAAGCAUAAGACCUUCUCCGCAUGUAUGGCUUCCCCAUUCCCAAGCAGACCAUGAACUUCCUAAGGAAAGUGACCGAAUUCCGCACUUCUCAACCCUCGCGGAGGGGCAGGGAGAUGGAUGAAGAAAUAAAGAGAGGGUGAAAUCAUUCUGGGAAGUUUCCUUGAAAGGGGUGAGUCAUAAAGAGGGGGUUGGGUGCAGGUGAGGAGGAGGAAGAUUACAGACUGCAGGGAUGAGCAAAUACCAUUUCCCAGGAUUUCCUGAAGUUUUUCUCCCCUCCCAAAGCCCAAAUCUGCCUCUUUCUGGGGCCCAGCGAGGACCCUGGAAGACAGAGAUCCUAGAAAAAGCAGAGGGAAAAGAAGAGGAAGAGAACAUGGAGAAACCGCCAGGGAACAGAACUCUUGGUCCAGGAGGCGCAAACCACAAGUGCAAUUAGUCAAAAAAAAACCCUGAAAUUAAAAAAUGAUUCCAAGCUGAGGAGGGGAGUACAUAAGUUACUGCAGCCCCAAGACAUUUAUGAAUAAUACAAAUGCUGUGAGGUGCUGAGCCUGAGCACAGUUAAUUAAUAUGUACAGGAGCAGAGAUGCACUUGAAAAACAAUAGUGCUGUUUCCCCCUCGCCAGAAGUAAAAAUAUUUCCAGAAA